rnacentral:lncRNA from 1 species
GGCACACCGCCGUCUCCCUCUCCCCUGGUGGCACCUCCCUAUGUGAGCUCCUCCCUAUCUUCCUGCUCCUUCACCUACUCCUUCUCAUCCCAUGUAUUUUAGAUUUGUUUGUUCAAUUUUACUCCAUAGUGCUUGCACGCCCAUGAAUAUGGAAAUAACCUACAAAAAAAGAAUCUGGAAGUAGACAUUUUAGUGUUUUUCCUAUUCCAUUAUCCGCUUUUUUGUUGCUAAGAGUACAAUUUUUUUGCAUGGGGGAUUAAUUAGACUGGUUAUAUAGAAUGAUAAUUGCCUCAAAUGAUUCAGAUUAAGAGUUCUGCUCAAGAUAUAUGUGCUAGAGAACUAAUUAUUUUGUACUUGACCGCUCUGCAGAUGUUGAGGUUGGUCCUGGAAUGGUUGGCUUUAGGACUUUUGGUGGCAGUAUAUUCUUAUGCCGACGAAAAGCAUUUGCAGGAUGAUUAUGUGGUUAUCUGUGGCAGUGUGCUCCUAUCCUCCCCGCCUCCACACUUCAUUUUUGGAAAACUAAUGAUUUUAAUUCCUCGAUGUCAUAGGUACCAUUGAUUGUGCCUCAGCUUCGUAGUCAAUCUUCGAUCGUCCAUGGCAUCAACACACAAAUUGAGAACUAAUUAUUUUGUACUUGACCGCUCUACAGAUGUUGAGGUUGGUCCUGGAAUGGUUGGCUUUGGGACUUUUGGUGGCAGUAUAUUCUUAUGCCGACGACAAGCAUUUGCAGGACGAUUAUGUGGUUAUCUGUGGCAGUGUGCUCCUAUCCUCCCCGCCUCCAUACUUCAUUUUUGGAAAACUAAUGAUUUUAAUUCCUCGAUGUCAUAGGUACCAUUGAUUGUGCCUCAGCUUCGUAGCCGAUCUUCGAUCGUCCAUGGCAUCAACACACAAAUUGAUAAUGCAAGCCUCAGGUCAAUACCUCCCCUAUUUGAUUUCUGCGGCAGAGUACUAAUAACUUUAUUGUUUGUGUUUUUGGAUAAGAUUUGCAUGGUAUUUCUAUCAUUGGUUGAUUGCUUGGAUACUUUCACUAUAGUAGUUGUUCUGCCUCAUCUAUCACUAUCUGCAAGCUUACUUUGAUUAUGUGUCUCCCAACUUUCUGUAACUAAAAAGCAGCCUGUAAAUGUAGCUUGAAUAAAAAUGGUACCUUUCUGUUUUGUGCAAGUUCA